rnacentral:rRNA from 1 species
GGGUCAGUAGGUUGGUCGUGCCACCGGUACGUACUGGUCUCACUGAUUCCUCCUUCCUGAAGAACCGUAAUGCCAUUAAUUUGGUGUUGCGGGGAAACAGGACUGUUACUUUGAAAAAAUUAGAGUGUUUAAAGCAAGCUAACGCUUGAAUACAUUAGCAUGGAAUAAUGAAAUAGGACGAUCGAUCAUAUUUUGUUGGUUCCUAGGAUUGACGUA